rnacentral:lncRNA from 1 species
UGUGUGUGUCGACAUUUGAGAGAGAAAGCUCUCUCAAGAUAAAAUUGCCUAAAUUCAGCCAAAUCAAGAUGAAAUUGAUACUAUGUCCUUUGCAUGUUUGAAGAUUUCAAUCAUCUAGUAGCAUCAAAACCUAAGGUGUGAAGGUGGAAGGUGGAAGGAUCAAGCAACCAAGGGAAACAAGAAGUACAAGACCGAGAUAAGUCCUUCCAGCUUACACUUUUACAAGUAGAUUAUUUGCAAGUUGUUGUUUAGCGAAUUUUAGUUGUGUCAAGUUGAUGCUUGAAAGGAAUUGGGGAUUACCCAUUGAAACAAGUCAUUUGGGUAAGAACUUGGUAAUGCAUGAAAACGGAUGCAAAACAUGACUUUUCAUGCCAAAUCCAUGGAGUGAUCUCCAUGUAGACUUAGAAUGAACAUACAGCAAGUAUUGGUUAUGAAUGAAGGAAUCAUGAAUGAUUAUCGCAUGAAAGGAACUUAUAUGCAAGGAUAUCGUUUGGAUGUGGGUUAAAUUCACCAUGUUUAUACCAUAAUGAGAAUAGUUAUGUAUUGUUGAGUAUAAGUUGAUUGUUCUAACUUGUUGUGGAUUUCUUAUAAGUAAAUCAUCAAUCAAAAUAUCAAGUCAAACGAAUACACACGUGCUCUUUUUGUUUAUCAAGUCAUGGGCUAUGAACUUAUCUUUCUAAAUGUAAAUGGCUUUCUU